UAAACUGAAGCUAGAUGUUGUAGGCAUUCGAUUGUUAAUCGAGUUUUCGUAAGUUUAAAUCUUACCAGUUUAG
rnacentral:tRNA from 1 species